CAUGUACGAGAAUCGGAGGUGGGAACAGCUUUAAAAGAGUUGUUUAAAUUAUGGGAAAGGAAGAAAAAUAAUUCAAAUACGGUGUUGGUGGAGAUGAAGAGGUGGUUAGCAGACAUAUCCUUAAAUGUGAUAUUGAGGAUAAUUUUUGGGCAAUCUGUGGGAUAUAUGACUGCAAAUGAAGGCGAGGAGAAUAAAAGAUUGAGGGAAGCGUUGAGGGAUUUCUUUGAUUUAUCAGGGAGGUUUGUGGCGGCUGAUGCGAUACCCUUUUUGAGGUGGCUGGAUAUUGGGGGAUACGAAAGAGCCAUGAAGAAGACUGCAAAAGAUUUGGACCUUGUUGUUGAAG
rnacentral:misc_RNA from 1 species